CCAAGGUGUCUUUCUGUUGUUCACUCAGUUGGCUGACUGAAACCUCUAAAAUGAGUUCAACCAGGCUUUGUUUCCUUGGAUCUCUGCACUGCAUAUGGAC